GGRACAWCUCCGGGAAACUGGAGCCAAUACCGUUAAAWAGGUGASGSMWWAGYCGCAAGUCGCCUGUGGAGGAACCUGCGUUCGAUUAGCUAGUUGGUGGGGWAAAGGCCUACCAAGGCGAUGAUCGAUAGCUGGUUUGAGAGGAUGAUCAGCCACACUGGGACUGAGACACGGCCCAGACUCCUACGGGAGGSAGCAGUGGGGAAUAUUGGACAAUGGGCGAAAGCC
rnacentral:rRNA from 1 species